rnacentral:tRNA from 2 species
GCGGAAGUGGCGGAAUUUGGUAGACGCGCUGGACUUAGGAUCCAGUGGAGCAAUCCGUGGGGGUUCGAGUCCCCCCUUUCGCA